rnacentral:lncRNA from 1 species
AGCGGGACGAUUGCUUGAGCUUGGUCGCUAUGUAGCGACCGAGCGGGUCGGAUGUUCGGUCGCUUCGUUGCGACCGGCAUCGGCUCGGACUUGGUUGCUACGUAGCGACUGGACAGCGUGUAUGUGCGGUAGUUACGCAACGACCGAGCUUGGUUCGUUUGCUUUUGAAUUUUCAAGGAUACUUCUUCGUAAAAACUUCGUAUUGGUUAUUAUUUUCUUACAAAAAUUUUAUCUUUAUUUUUACUAUCUCUUUCGGAAAUACGAUCUCCGAGGAUUUUCGGGUGGUAAUUCCGUCGUGACCGUUUUAGACCCCA